GCUCUCCAGCCGGCUGGAGGGACGCGUCCAGUGCGUUCACUACGUCCAGCCGCCGGCCCCCCUCGAAUCUGCUCGCGCUCGGCAGCGGCGGCGCGGAGGGCAGGAGGUGUCUGGUCAGCGGGUUGCGGAGGAUCGUGCGGGUAGCAAAGGGAGGGCGAGUGCCCCUGCAGCCGCAGGCAACAACCAGAACAUGCAUCACUGUUAGAACCAUCACCCUGCAGCUAGCUUGGACACCAUUAAAAGGGCUCAUCAGCUGCAAACGGAUAGAAGUAUCUGGUAUUCGUGAAGACAGAGUUUUGGGGCUGCCACCUGGAGCUACGCCCUCCAGAAGCCCCUGCUUGGCCUCCCUGCACCCAACCCCACACCAAGCAGCCACAACUCGGGCUGUGUGUGGUGUUUCUUGGCAAUUGGAACGCAGACUCCUCCAGCGGCUCCACAGCCCCCUUGUCCUCAGUGAGCAGAAGACCACAGAAGCUGGCUCCUGAAGAGGCUGUCCAAGCAAUAGAGCUCCUCCUUGGCUCUGCUUAGCACACUUACCACACAGGAGUGCUGGAUGUUCCUCAUUCCUGCUCACUACCCACGGGGACUGUAGAGGGAUUUGUCAGGCCCCAUUUCACCAAGGGCCACCCUGUAAGGAUCUCCACAGGAGGCCGCCCAUAGAGAGAAGGGGCCUGCCUGGGUUCUCCACUGCCUUAAGGCCUACGUGGACACCCUCCAGGGCUGAGGGGAUCAAAACCUUUUCACCUACCCGUGAUCCACAUUAUCAGCUGCAAAGUUCUGCCUCCGAGUUUGUGUUCUUUUGUUUGUUUUUUUGUUUUGUUUUGUUUUGUUUUUGGUAGAAAGAGUUUUAACUGCUUCUUCCAUUCCUGUAGUAACUAGAGGGCUACUCGGGAUUUCUUUUUGCUUCUUGAGUCAAUUUGGUAAGUUAUCGAUUUCUAGGAAUCGGUCCAUUUUAUCUGCAUUCUUGAAUUUAUUGGCAUAAAGUUCCCUUUUUAAAAAAAUCCUCUGCUGUAUACAACCUGUAACUAUGUCUCCUUUUUCAUUGCUGAUAUUGGUUAUUUGUGCCUUCUCACUUUUUUUCUUGAUCAAUCUCACCAGAGGUUUGUCUAUUUUAUUAGUCUUUUCCAAGAACCAACUUUUGGCUCUGUUGCUCCUCUCUAUUGUGUCUUUGUUUUCUAUUUCUUUAAUUUCCGCUCUUAUCUUUUUUGAUCUCCUUCCGUCCACAUUUUUUGGAUUUAUUCUGUUGUUCUUUUUCUGAUUUCGUAUGUUAGACAUGGAGCUCAUUAAUUUUCAGCCUUUCUUGUUUUAUAAUGUGUGCAUUUAAAGAUAUACAUUUCCUUCCAAGUACUACUUUUCUACACAUUCAAACAUGUCAUACUUCAUUAUUGUUCAGUUCCAAGUACUUCAACAUUUCCAUCAUGGUUACUUCUUUGGUGAGUGAUAUAGAAGUGUGUUUAUAAAUUUCUAAAUGUGCGGGGAAUUUUUAAUGUAUCUCUUUGUUAUUGAAAUCUAUCUUAAUUGCAUUAUGGUCUGAGGAUGUGGUCUGUGUAAUAACAACUCUAAAAUUAAUUGAGACUUGUUUUAUGGCUUAGUACAUGAUCAAUAUUUUUGAAUGUUUCCUAUGUGCUUUAUAAGAUGUAUGUUCUCUAAUUGUUGAACACAGAGUUCUACAUAUGUCUAUUAUCAAGUUUGUUAAUUGUAUUGUUCAAAUUUUCUAUAUCUACACUGAUAUUUUGGUCAUGCUAUGCCAGUAAUUUUAAGAGGUGUGUUCAUUUUCAACUAUGAUGGUGGAUUUGUCUGUUUCUCCUUACAGUUCUUUUUAAAAAUUUUAUAUAUUUUGAGGAUAUUUUAUUAGGAAUAUUCAAAUGAAGAAUUGUUAUACAUUCCUGGUAAAUAUGUAAUGACCCUCUCUAUUCUCGAUAAUGCAUUUUUUGAAGUCUGUCUUAUCUUACCUUAACACAAGCUUUUCUUCUUGUUCGGAUUUGUGUGGUAUACAAUUUUCCAUCCUUUCAUUGUUCAACAUUUUCAUGCCCUUAUGCGUUAAUUAUAUCUCUUGAGAAUGGCAUACAGCUGGACCCUUAAAAAAAUCUAAUCUGAUGAUCUCUUUUAAUGGCGAGUUUAGUCUGUUUACAUUUUCUAUGAUAUAUUUGGACUUGUUUCUACCAUUGUACUUUUUUAUUUCUAUUUCCUACCACCACCUUUUCUAUGCUUCGUUUUUCUCUUUUCUGGCCUGUUUUUUAGUUCUGAGAUUUGUUUAUUUGCUUUCUUAUUCAGUUUUUUCCUCUGUACUGUUUGAAAUUUACACAUUCUUUUUUUUUAUUAUUCUUUCUGUGGUUAUCCUUGAACUUUCACCAUGCAUGUGUAACUUAUAAGGUCUAAAGUUAAAUAGCAUUUUAACCUCCCUCUUGAAGAAUACAGGAACCUUUAACUCUGGUCAUUCCUCUCUUUGCCACAUGCUAUUGUCUUGAGUAUGUUAGUUAGUUUCUUUUUUUUCCUAACCUCACAAAUUCUAUAUCAUCAUUAGUAUUAUUUUACAUAGACAGUAUUUGUUUGGAUUUACAUGCAUACAUUCUUGCAUCUCAGACCAUCAUUCUGGGAUCAUUUUCUUUUAUCAUAAAUACAAUGUUUAGAUGUUCUUUUAGUACAGGUCUCUUGGUGUUAAAUUCUCCCAGUUUUUGUUGUUAUAUGCAAAUGUCUUUAUUUUAUCCUCAUUCUUAAAAGAUAAUUUGUUAUAAGUAUUUAGAAGUCUGCUGUCGGUCUAAUUGCUAUUUUGGGUAGGUAUUUUUGUUUUCUUAUACUUGAACUACUUUUAAGAAAUUCUCUCUCUCUCUCUCUCUCUCUCAGAGGGAGAUCUGCAGGGGGGUAUGCAGUUUCAUUCUAACAUGUUUAGGCAUGUAUUUCUUUUUUAUUCUUCCUUGGAAAUGUGCUUCAUGCUUUUUAAUUCAUGUUUUUCAUACUUUCUAGAAAAUUCUCAGCCAUUAUCUUUUCAAAUAUUGUCUUUCUUCCACCCUUUCCAUAUUUUCUUUCUCAGAAUCCAGUUAGUCAUAUUUCAGACCACAUUGCAUCUUCCAUAUCUCAUAAUGUCUUGUUGAUAUUUUCUAUUUCCUUGUCUUCCUGCAUUUCAUUCUGGGCAAUUUCUUCAGAUAUAUCUUUCAGUUUACUGAUACUCUCUUCAGCUCUGUCAGCUCUGUCUGUUUAAUCUGUCCACUGAGUUUUUUAUUCCAAUAAGUAUAUUUUUCAUGUGUACAAGCUGUGUAUUUUUCGCUUUCGAAUCUGCCUAGUCAUCCCUAAUAGUCUCUUGUUGCUUGCUCAUCUUUGUGGUUGCAUCUUUUAUUUAAAAAGAACAUUUUAUACACUUUUUGUUCAACCAGUAAUCACUGUUUGCAUAAGUGUGACUCAUUAUCGUUCACAUCUAAACCAUAUAGUACUCUCUGAUCAUAUAUCCUUUGUUGUAUACCUUUUUGUUUUCCUAGUAAUCGUCUUUGUUUCUUUUGCCUAGUGUUACCAUACCUAUUACUAAUUCUUUGAAAUUCCUUUUAAAAUCCAUAUCAUAUCAUGUCUCUCCUCUGCUCAAAAUUCUCCCAUGGCUCCCAGCUCCCUCAGAAGAAAAGUCAAAGCCCUCACCAUGGCCCAAAAGUCCACACAGUGUGGUUCCCAUGCCCUUUCUGACCUCCUAUCCUGUUAAUCUUCCCAUUACUCACUCAUUUCCAGCCACCCUAGCCCCCUGGCUGUUCUUCAAACAUGUCAGGUAACCCUCCCCCUUCAGAGCUUUUGUGCCUGCUGUUCUCACUGCCUGGAACACUCUUCUUUCCAGAUAAUCUCAUGAGUUUCCCCCCCACUUCUAGUAUGCUGAAAUGUCACCUCUCUAGAGAAGCAUUCCCUAACCAAAUUAGUCCCAUUCACCAGUGUUUUCUAACCCCUUAUCCUACUUGACGUCUCAUGUUUUUGUACCAAACACUGAUCACCACCUGAUAUAUGUUCUAUUUAUUUAUUGUGAUUAGUGUUUGUCUUUUCCCAGUAGACUGUAAGCUCCACAAAGCAGGGACUUUGUUUUGUUCACUAUUGUAUCCCCAGUGCCAAGAAGAACAGUGCAUAGUAAUAUUUAGUAGAUACUCAAUAAAUAUUUAUGGAAUAAACGGUAUUACUAAUUGAUUAA